GACGAACGCUGUCGGCGUGCUUAACACAUGCAAGUCGAACGGAAAGGCCCUGCUUUUGUGGGGUGCUCGAGUGGCGAACGGGUGAGUAACACGUGAGUAACCUGCCCUUGACUUUGGGAUAACUUCAGGAAACUGGGGCUAAUACCGGAUAGGAGCUCCUGCUGCAUGGUGGGGGUUGGAAAGUUUCGGCGGUUGGGGAUGGACUCGCGGCUUAUCAGCUUGCUGGUGGGGUAGUGGCUUACCAAGGCUUUGACGGGUAGCCGGCCUGAGAGGGUGACCGGCCACAUUGGGACUGAGAUACGGCCCAGACUCCUACGGGAGGCAGCAGUGGGGAAUAUUGCACAAUGGGCGGAAGCCUGAUGCAGCAACGCCGCGCGCGGGAUGACGGCCUUCGGGUUGUAAACCGCUUUCGCCUGUGACGAAGCGUGAGUGACGGUAAUGGGUAAAGAAGCACCGGCUAACUACGUGCCAGCAGCCGCGGUGAUACGUAGGGUGCGAGCGUUGUCCGGAUUUAUUGGGCGUAAAGGGCUCGUAGGUGGUUGAUCGCGUCGGAAGUGUAAUCUUGGGGCUUAACCCUGAGCGUGCUUUCGAUACGGGUUGACUUGAGGAAGGUAGGGGAGAAUGGAAUUCCUGGUGGAGCGGUGGAAUGCGCAGAUAUCAGGAGGAACACCAGUGGCGAAGGCGGUUCUCUGGGCCUUUCCUGACGCUGAGGAGCGAAAGCGUGGGGAGCGAACAGGCUUAGAUACCCUGGUAGUCCACGCUGUAAACGGUGGGUACUAGGUGUGGGGUCCAUUCCACGGGUUCCGUGCCGUAGCUAACGCUUUAAGUACCCCGCCUGGGGAGUACGGCCGCAAGGCUAAAACUCAAAGGAAUUGACGGGGCCCCGCACAAGCGGCGGAGCAUGCGGAUUAAUUCGAUGCAACGCGUAGAACCUUACCUGGGUUUGACAUGGAUCGGGAGUGCUCAGAGAUGGGUGUGCCUCUUUUGGGGUCGGUUCACAGGUGGUGCAUGCCUGUCGUCAGCUCGUGUCGUGAGAUGUUGGGUUAAGUCCCGCAACGAGCGCAACCCUUGUUCACUGUUGCCAGCACGUUAUGGUGGGGACUCAGUGGAGACCGCCGGGGUCAACUCGGAGGAAGGUGGGGAUGACGUCAAGUCAUCAUGCCCCUUAUGUCCAGGGCUUCACGCAUGCUACAAUGGCUGGUACAGAGAGUGGCGAGCCUGUGAGGGUGAGCGAAUCUCGGAAAGCCGGUCUCAGUUCGGAUUGGGGUCUGCAACUCGACCUCAUGAAGUCGGAGUCGCUAGUAAUCGCAGAUCAGCAACGCUGCGGUGAAUACGUUCCCGGG
rnacentral:rRNA from 1 species